rnacentral:tRNA from 1 species
UAGGCCGUAGCUUAGGGGAAGAGCACCUACUGCAAAUGGGGGGCGUGAGUUCGAGUCUCACCGGCCGUA